AUUGAACGCUGGCGGCAGGCCUAACACAUGCAAGUCGAACGAGACCUUCGGGUCUAGUGGCGCACGGGUGCGUAACGCGUGGGAAUCUGCCCUUUGCUACGGAAUAACUCAGAGAAAUUUGUGCUAAUACCGUAUAAUGUCGAAAGACCAAAGAUUUAUCGGCAAAGGAUGAGCCCGCGUAGGAUUAGCUAGUUGGUGAGGUAAAGGCUCACCAAGGCGACGAUCCUUAGCUGGUCUGAGAGGAUGAUCAGCCACACUGGGACUGAGACACGGCCCAGACUCCUGCGGGAGGCAGCAGUGGGUAAUAUUGUACAAUGGGCGAAAGCCUGAUCCAGCAAUGCCGCGUGAGUGAUGAAGGCCUUAGAGUUGUAAAGCUCUUUUACCAGGGAUGAUAAUGACAGUACCUGGAGAAUAAGCUCCGGCUAACUCCGUGCCAGCAGCCGCCGUAACAC
rnacentral:rRNA from 1 species